AGAUCCUCUUUUCUUUGUGAAUUUCACUUUAACCCUCAUUGAUUGCAUUUAAUUUCUGAUUUCUGUAAUUUUGCUGCCUUGAGCUCUUUCGCCUGUUCCCAUGUUUCUCCCUAGGCCCACUAUUCCUUUUCCCCAUAUCCCUUGUCCUCAUUCUUAUGUAUCUUCCUCUGUCCUCUCUUCCCCUGUCACCACUUUGGCUUUGAUAUCUCCACAUCAGUAGCUGUUUGGGGCAGUGGAAGACCCAAACCUCAAUGGAUAUGCUUUGAUGACAUUCCCUCCAUCCCUCAGAGUUUUUACUUCUUCCUCUGUUGUCUUCCAUGGCCCUCAAGGAUUACCUUUUUGUAAGGUAAUCCUCUUGAAACACAGCCUGUCUUCUUUCUUAUAGUCUCAGAGCAUUAAAAUUGUGAAGACGCUGAUGCUUUCUUAAGAAAAAUCAGGAUGUAUCAUACCACCCAGGAUAACCUGUGAUGCGCUAGUAUGAAUGGGAUCUAAAGUAAAGGAGGUGCAAAAUCUCUUAAAAUAGCAUUUGCUGAUAAUAGAUCAUUACUACAGACCAAAUAAAUAGUUUAAAGCCAU